GGCGGGUCUGGGCAGGGCCGGGGUGCGCGACCGGAGCGGAACGGAAAGGGGUCGGAGUCGCAUCCCGGCCGGAGCGGCGUGCUCAGUGGGACCCGAGGUGAGCGGCGGCCGAGGUCUGUCUACAGGUUUUGAGCAUCUGAUCCCUGAACUGGAGUGUCUGCUGCCGCCCCCUUAUUCUCUGCAGAGAUGUCUGUCACCUACGAUGAUUCUGUGGGAGUGGAAGUGUCCAGCGACAGCUUCUGGGAGGUCGGGAACUACAAACGGACUGUGAAGCGGAUUGAUGAUGGCCACCGCCUGUGUGGUGACCUCAUGAACUGUUUGCACGAGCGGGCACGUAUCGAGAAGGCAUAUGCACAGCAGCUCACUGAGUGGGCCCGACGCUGGAGACAGCUUGUAGAGAAGGGACCACAGUAUGGGACCGUGGAGAAGGCCUGGAUGGCUGUCAUGUCUGAGGCAGAGAGAGUGAGCGAGCUACACCUGGAAGUGAAGGCAUCACUGAUGAACGAAGACUUUGAGAAGAUCAAGAACUGGCAGAAGGAAGCCUUUCACAAGCAGAUGAUGGGAGGCUUCAAGGAGACCAAGGAAGCAGAGGAUGGCUUUCGGAAGGCCCAGAAGCCCUGGGCCAAGAAGCUGAAAGAGGUGGAUGCGGCAAAGAAAGCACACCACACAGCGUGCAAAGAGGAGAAGCUGGCCGUCUCCCGGGAAGCCAACAGCAAAGCAGAUCCAUCCCUCAACCCUGAGCAGCUGAAGAAAUUGCAAGACAAGAUAGAAAAGUGCAAGCAGGACGUUCUAAAGACCAAGGACAAGUAUGAGAAGGCCCUGAAGGAGCUUGACCAGACUACACCGCAGUACAUGGAGAACAUGGAGCAGGUGUUCGAGCAGUGCCAGCAGUUUGAAGAGAAGCGCCUGCGCUUCUUCCGAGAGGUUCUGCUGGAGGUUCAGAAGCACUUGGACCUGUCCAAUGUGGCUAGCUACAAAGGCAUUUACCGGGAGCUGGAGCAGAGCAUCAAAGCAGCUGAUGCUGUGGAGGACCUGAGGUGGUUCCGAGCUAACCAUGGGCCAGGCAUGGCUAUGAACUGGCCACAGUUUGAGGUAAGGAGGUUGUGUGCCUACAACUCUGCUCACCUGUAAUUGGGAACGGAGACCCCCCCUCUACUUGAGCUAUAAAUGUUCUCACUCUGGGCUUUGUGUAUGCAAUCGUCCUGACAAGUGUCUAGUGUCCCAGUCAC
rnacentral:lncRNA from 1 species